rnacentral:rRNA from 1 species
AACGAACGCUGGCGGCGCGCCUAAUACAUGCAAGUCGAGCGAGAAGGUGUAGCAAUACACUUGUAAAGCGGCGAACGGGUGAGGAAUACAUGGGUAAUCUACCAUCGAGUGGGGAAUAACCAACCGAAAGGUUGGCUAAUACCGCGUACGCCUCCGAGUCUUCGGGUUCGGAGGGAAAGCUGCACUGUGAGUGUAGCGCUCUUUGAUGAGCUCAUGUCCUAUCAGCUUGUUGGUAGGGUAACGGCCUACCAAGGCUUUGACGGGUAGCUGGUCUGAGAGGACGAUCAGCCACACUGGCACUGCGACACGGGCCAGACUCCUACGGGAGGCAGCAGUAAGGAAUAUUGCGCAAUGGGCGAAAGCCUGACGCAGCGACGCCGCGUGAGUGAUGAAGGCCUUCGGGUCGUAAAACUCUGUCGGGAGGGACGAAGGGGGCAACCCUGACGGUACCUCGCAAGAAAGCACCGGGCUAACUCUGUGCCAGCAGCCGCGGUAAU